rnacentral:rRNA from 1 species
AUUGAACGCUGGCGGCAUGCCUUACACAUGCAAGUCGAACGGUAACGGGCCUUCGGGUGCCGACGAGUGGCGAACGGGUGAGUAAUGUAUCGGAACGUACCUUUCAGUGGGGGAUAACGUAGCGAAAGUUACGCUAAUACCGCAUAUUCUGUGAGCAGGAAAGCAGGGGAUCGCAAGACCUUGCGCUGAUUGAGCGGCCGAUAUCAGAUUAGCUAGUUGGUGAGGUAAAGGCUCACCAAGGGGACGAUCUGUAGCGGGUCUGAGAGGAUGAUCCGCCACACUGGAACUGAGACACGGUCCAUACUCCUACGGGAGGCAGCAGUGGGGAAUUUUGGACAAUGGGGGCAACCCUGAUCCAGCCAUGCCGCGUGAGUGAAGAAGGCCUUCGGGUUGUAAAGCUCCUUCGGCCGGGAAGAAAUCGUAUCAGCUAAUACCUGGUGCGGAUGACGGUACCGGCAUAAGAAGCACCGGCUAACUACGUGCCAGCCGCCGCCGUAACAC